AUUGAACGCUGGCGGCAGGCCUAACACAUGCAAGUCGAACGGUAACAGGAAGAAGCUUGCUUCUUUGCUGACGAGUGGCGGACGGGUGAGUAAUGUCUGGGAAACUGCCUGAUGGAGGGGGAUAACUACUGGAAACGGUAGCUAAUACCGCACAACGUCGCAAGACCAAAGAGGGGGACCUUCGGGCCUCUUGCCAUCGGAUGUGCCCAGAUGGGAUUAGCUAGUAGGUGGGGUAACGGCUCACCUAGGCGGCGAUUCCUAGCUGGUCUGAGAGGAUGACCAGCCACACUGGAACUGAGACACGGUCCAGACUCCUACGGGAGGCAGCAGUGGGGAAUAUUGCACAAUGGGCGCAAGCCUGAUGCAGCCAUGCCGCGUGUAUGAAGAAGGCCUUCGGGUUGUAAAGUACUUUCAGCGGGGAGGAAGGGAGGAAAGUUAAUACCUUUGCGUAUUGACGUUACCCGAAGAAGAAGCACCGGCUAACUUCGUG
rnacentral:rRNA from 1 species